CCAUGCUUGGAAGAAGCCAUUUGGGGAAAGAGGGACCAGGCCAUUCCACACAUCCCAGCCAAUAGCUAGAGCUGAGCCCUGCCAGGCACCAUCACUGAAGAUUGGGGUCUUCAUGACACAAAAGUAUAAAAUAGGUUGUCUUUUUGUAACAUGCUUUAGAAAAUAGGUUGUCUUUUUGUAACAUGCUUUAGAAUGGGUGUGGGGGAAUCACUGUUGUUUGUUCACCUGUAUUUGGAAUAAUUUAAAAUUCCUCAUUUUGUAAGUACAAAUCAUGAGUCACAGUGCACGAGAACAUGGGACAGACCCAAGUAACAGAAUUCAAUGUGCUUAAGAUACUCUCUCUUCCGAUGACCAAGGCUUUUGGUUUUCAUUGCUUUUACUUAUUAAAGUAAACUCACUGGCUCCUUCCUUCUUCAGGAUUUGUUCUUCUGCAGAAGCCCCCUUAGAGUUCUCUCGUCCUGAUGCUCUAUAAGUUCUCCAGAGAUGUCCAAGAAAAGUCUGCACCUCACUUAGAUUCAAGCUAGGAGAGCUGCCAUGCUAGAAUCCUUGGCUGCCACAAAAGCAGUGAUCUGUUCAACACUAGAGGGGAACUUUAUACUCACUCUGGGAGUGUAGCUCACUCAGCAGAACCCUCUCUAUACCAUUAGCCCUUCUGAAUCCUCAAGGAGGUGUAAGAUAGCACGUAAUCAGUUUUCAGAAUCCUUUCACGUACCUCUCUCACUUCAAACUUGUGCCUCUCUCCCAUACCUUGGUUCUCCAAGCAAGAUGGGAGAGUCAGCUUAGCCUGCUUCACUAACUACAGUCACCAAACCAGGUCAGUUUUAACUCCUAAAUCUCUCUCUUUCUCUCUGUC